CAGCCGCCACGGUAAUACGUAGGUGGCAAGCGUUGUCCGGAAUUAUUGGGCGUAAAGCGCGCGCGGGCGGAUCAGUCAGUCCAUCUUAAAAGUGCGGGGCUCAACCCCGUGAGGGGAUGGAAACUGUAUGCCUUGAGUGUAGGAGAGGAAAGCGGAAUUCCCAGUGUAGCGGUGAAAUGCGUAGAUAUUGGGAGGAACACCAGUGGCGAAGGCGGCUUUCUGGACUGCAACUGACGCUGAGGCUCGAAAGCCAGGGGAGCGAACGGGAUUAGAUACCCGCGUAGUCCCUGUCUCUUAUACA
rnacentral:rRNA from 1 species